UGGGGAAUUUUGGACAAUGGGCGAAAGCCUGAUCCAGCAAUGCCGCGUGUGUGAAGAAGGCCUUCGGGUUGUAAAGCACUUUUGUCCGGAAAGAAAUCCUUGGCUCUAAUACAGUCGGGGGAUGACGGUACCGGAAGAAUAAGCACCGGCUAACUACGUGCCAGCAGCCGCGGUAAUACGUAGGGUGCAAGCGUUAAUCGGAAUUACUGGGCGUAAAGCGUGCGCAGGCGGUUUGCUAAGACCGAUGUGAAAUCCCCGGGCUCAACCUGGGAACUGCAUUGGUGACUGGCAGGCUAGAGUAUGGCAGAGGGGGGUAGAAUUCCACGUGUAGCAGUGAAAUGCGUAGAGAUGUGGAGGAAUACCGAUGGCGAAGGCAGCCCCCUGGGCCAAUACUGACGCUCAUGCACGAAAGCGUGGGGAGCAAACAGGAUUAGAUACCCUGGUAGUCCACGCCCUAAACGAUGUCAACUAGUUGUUGGGGAUUCAUUUCUUAGUAACGUAGCUAACGCGUGAAGUUGACCGCCUGGGGAGUACGGUCGCAAGAUUAAAACUCAAAUGAAUUGACGGGGUCAUAGCUGUUUCC
rnacentral:rRNA from 1 species